GCUAGAUCAAAAGAAACUUUGCAGAUUAUGCUUGCUCUGGAGAAGGUGAGCUGCCAAAUAAGACAUCUGGAUACUGUGAGACUACCAUGUUGGAUAGGCCACAAGUGGGUACUCUGGUCAAAAGUCCCAGCGGAGUAAGAUAUGGAGAGCUAGGCCUAUAAGUGUACAAACUGUGUGAUUGCAUAGGGCUGUGCUAGUGCCUUCCUGAAAAUCUUUAAAGAAUUAUCAGAGGAGCAGGCUAGUUGUUGCAAGAGUGGAUUGUUAUAAGGCAAGCCCAGCUCCUGGAGCUCCUCUCUUAGGCACACUCUCACUUGCCCUUUUGCUCUCCCACCAUGGAAUAGCACAGCAUGAUGGUCCUCACAAGAUGCUGGUGCCAUGCUCUUGGACUUCCCAGUCUCCAGAACUAAUGGAGAAGAUCAGGGAAAGUCUGAAUGAAGGCCAGCAGGCAGUAUCAGCCGAACCAAGAAGGGCCAUAAAGCUGCAGACCAGGAAAUCUGCCCUCUGAGAGCACAGAAUUUAGAAUGGACAGCAAAUUUAGUAAAAGUGUUCCAGCUAGAAGAUUUGGAUGAAAAGUGAUUCCAAAAAAAUGAGGCAAUCUCAUCCCGAAACUAUUUAAAACUACUCUCCUCUCUCUUGAUAAACCGUCAGUAGGAAGUGUGUCGUUUAUUCCCUCACUCCACACUGGAUUCAUAUGGGCUGAUAGCAGCAGGAUUAAAAAUUUUUUUC
rnacentral:lncRNA from 1 species